ACGCUUGAAGUCAGUCGCGUCGGCUGGAAAUCAGCCUUGCUUUUGCUUGGUGUACUUUCUGGUUCGAUGGGUCAGCAUCAAUUUCGACCGCCGGAUAAAGUCGUUGGGAAUGUGGCAUCUUAGGAUGUGUUAUAGCCCAUUGUCGCAUACGGCGGUUGGGAUUGAGGAGCUCAGCACGCCAGCAAUGGCCGGGUUUUCGAACCACGUUCGUGCUUAGGAUGCUGGCAUAAUGGCUUUAAUCGACCCGUCUUGAAACACGGACCAAGGAGUC
rnacentral:rRNA from 1 species